GACGAACGCUGGCGGCGUGCUUAACACAUGCAAGUCGAACGGUGAACUUGGAGCUUGCUCCAGGGGAUCAGUGGCGAACGGGUGAGUAACACGUGAGUAACCUGCCCCAGACUCUGGAAUAAGCGCUGGAAACGGCGUCUAAUACCGGAUACGAGACAGAGAGGCAUCUCUACUGUCUGGAAAGUUUUUCGGUCUGGGAUGGACUCGCGGCCUAUCAGCUUGUUGGUGAGGUAACGGCUCACCAAGGCGACGACGGGUAGCCGGCCUGAGAGGGCGACCGGCCACACUGGGACUGAGACACGGCCCAGACUCCUACGGGAGGCAGCAGUGGGGAAUAUUGCACAAUGGGCGAAAGCCUGAUGCAGCGACGCCGCGUGAGGGAUGACGGCCUUCGGGUUGUAAACCUCUUUCAGCAGGGAAGAAGCGAAAGUGACGGUACCUGCAGAAGAAGCACCGGCUAACUACGUGCCAGCCGCCGCAGUAAAAC
rnacentral:rRNA from 1 species